rnacentral:rRNA from 1 species
CCAGAGCAUGGCAGUGAGACCACGGGGGAUGAGCUUCGUUGGUCGAAAGGGAAACAGCCCAGAUCAUCAGCUAAGGCCCCAAAUUCAGGACUAAGUGGAAAACGAUGUGGAUUUGCACAGACAGCCAGGAGGUUGGCUUAGAAGCAGCCAUCCUUAAAAGAGUGCGUAACAGCUCACUGGUCGAGUGAAUCUGCGCGGACAAUUUAACGGGGCUCAAGUCCUGAGCCGAAGCUAUGGAUUUCAACGUUUUACGUUGGAGUGGUAGAGGAGCGUUGAUGAAGCACUGAAGCGGCGGGAUAACCCGACGUGGAGUUUCAUCAAGUGAGAAUGUAGGCAUGAGUAGCGAGAGAGGAGUGAGAAACUCCUCCGCCGUAAGCCCAAGGGUUCCUGGGGAAGGCUAAUCCUCCCAGGGUAAGUCGGGAGCUAAGACGAGGCCGCGAGGCGUAGUCGAUGCACAACUGGUUGAUAUUCCAGUACCGCCAUAUACGCGCAAAGCUCAAUUUCGGUGAAGCAGGGGCUGCCUUCGGGCGAUCCUGACUAGCUGGAUGCGGGUAACUGAAGGGGGACACAGAAGGAUAGGUGAACCGGGGCGAUGGUUGUCCCCGGGUAAGUGUGUAGGAGGACUGCGAUGAGAAUUGCGGUCGUAACUCUGAGACACGAUGCCGAGCGGGUUUCCGCGAAGUCACUAAUUCCAUGCUGUCGAGAAAAGCCCAGCAGUGAGUUUGUAUGGCGCCCGUACCCCAAACCGACGCAGGUGGGCGGGUAGAGAAUACCGAGGCGAUCGGGAGAACUAUGGUUAAGGAACUCGGCAAAAUGCCUCCGUAACUUCGGAAGAAGGAGGACCCACGUAGGGUGAAGAGACUUCGCGUCUCCAGCCUGAAUGGGUGGCACAGAGCAGGGGGUAGCGACUGUUUAACAAAAACACAGCAGCGUGCGAAGCCGCAAGGCGCUGUAUACGCUGUGACGCCUGCCCAAUGCUGGAAGGUCACGAGGAACGGUUAGCCGCAAGGCGAAGCUGUGAAUCUAAGCCCCAGUGAAUGGCGGCCGUAACUAUAACGGUCCUAAGGUAGCGAAAUUCCUUGUCGGGUAAGUUCCGACCUGCACGAAUGGUGUAACGAUUUGGGCACUGUCUCAAGCACGGGCUCGGCGAAAUUGUGGUACCGGUGAAGACGCCGGUUACCCGCAUAUGGACGGAAAGACCCUAUGCACCUUUACUACAGCUUAGUAUUGGGUUUGGUUACAACAUGCGUAGGAUAGGUGGGAGACUACGAAGCGGGCCUUGCGGGGCUCGUGGAGUCAAUGGUGAAAUACCACCCUUGUUGUGACCGGAUUCUAACCCGGCCGAGUGGAUCGGCGGGAACAGUGCUAGGUGGGUAGUUUGACUGGGGCGGUCGCCUCCUAAAAGGUAACGGAGGCUUACAAAGGUUCCCUCAGUACGGUUGGUAAUCGUACGUAGAGUGCAAAAGCAGAAGGGAGCUUGACUGUGAGGGAGACAUCCCGAACAGGUGCGAAAGCAGGUUUUAGUGAUCCGGCGGCACUGCGUGGAAGGGCCGUCGCUCAAAGGAUAAAAGGUACGCUAGGGAUAACAGGCUGAUCUUGCCCAAGAGUCCAUAUCGACGGCAAGGUUUGGCACCUCGAUGUCGGCUCAUCGCAUCCUGGGGCUGGAGAAGGUCCCAAGGGUUUGGCUGUUCGCCAAUUAAAGCGGUACGUGAGCUGGGUUCAGAACGUCGUGAGACAGUUCGGUCCCUAUCCUAUGCGGGCGCAGGAUGUUUGAGGAGAGUCGUCGUUAGUACGAGAGGACCGCGAUGACCGGACCGACGGUGUAUCUGUUGUCACGCCAGUGGCACGGCAGAGUAGCCACGUCCGGGAAGGAUAAGCGCUGAAAGCAUCUCAAGCGCGAAACCCACUCCAAGAUGAGACAUCCCAAUUAGUAAGGACCCGGAGAGAUGAUCCGGUUGAUAGGCCUCAGGUGGAAGCGCGGUAACGUGUGCAGCCGAG